rnacentral:lncRNA from 1 species
CAAUACGUGAAAAAUAGUACUAACUAUCAAGUGAUAAACUGUAUAGUAUUUUAAAACUCUUUUUGUAUGUUUUGACAAAAAACAUGACAGAUUCGUAUGAAUAAAGUGCAAGCACACCGUUUUAGUAAAACAUUACAAGUUAUUAGUGAGAUCGGCGUUUAUUAUAAAUCAGAAUAUUUCAUACAAAUAUACUCAACGAGUGACUUUAUUCCUCCACAAUUAAUCUAAAAUAAAGAUUUAUAGUAAAACUGAUACCAUACCAAUUUAAGUUUGGCUCUACGGAAAUUCUAACCAAAUUGCAAAUUUCGACUCGUUAUAAUCUCGUUUCCUGACCAUCAGAUUUCUGUCAAAUCUUCCCCCCAAAGUCCAGGAAAUGGCAUUUCAGAGACUCUAAAUUUAAAAAUUUCCGGGGGGCAUGCCCCCGGACCCCCCUAGGAACACCUCGCACCUGCGGCGCUCGGCUCGUGCCUUCGGCCCUCGUUUAUCAAGCGUCACAUUAUAGGGGCGCAUAUUGGUUGAUAGCCCAAUGGCCCCCCCAGAAAAAUAGUACCCAGCACGCCACUGAUCCUUACUGAACCUUCAGGAAUUAAGAACAGUGUAGAACUGAUAAAGCUAUCUGGUAUAAAUGAAGUUAAUUUAAUUUAGGUUUCCUCCUGUAGUAACAUUGGAUCAAUAAGAGAUAAUCUUCACUGGACCUUUAGGAAGAAGAGUUUAGAACAGAUAGAGCAAUCCAGUAUAAAUAAAGUUAGUUUAGUUUAUGUUUCCUUCCGUAGCAACACUGCAUCAAUAAGAUCAUCCUUACUGGACGUCUACGAAGAAUAGCUCGGAACUGAUACAGCUAUCCAUCAAACACAAUAAUGCAGUCAAUAAUUCCUUUUAUCUUGUAUACUACAGGAGUGAAAUGGCUUAUCCUAAAAGCGUUGUGGUUUUCUUAUCUUUUGCUUUAAUCCUGAGCUUUGUGGUGGAGCAAUCAAGUGGUCAAUACUAUCCGCCACGUUGGGGAAAACGGGAUGCAGCGAGACCUCUAAGACUAAGUAUAAAGAAAAAGUUUACUUAGGUUUCCUCAUGUAGUAACACUCGAUCAAUAAAAGAUUAUCUUUACUGGACCUAUAUAGGGCCGGAACACGGGAACAGUAUAAAACUGAUAGAGCUAUCCAGUAUAAAUAAAGUUAGUUGAGUUUAGGUUUCCUCCUGUAGUAACACUGGACCACAAGGGGAUGACGCUUAAAAUGACUGUACUGAUUUAUACUGGAUAGUUUUAUCAGUUCUAAACCGCUGUUCUUCCUAGAAGUUCAGGAAGGAUAUCUCCUGUCGAUCCAGUGUUACUAUAGGAGAAAACCUAAAUAGUAUAUACUGAAUAGCUCCAUCAUUUCUAAACUGUUCUUCAUAGAGGUCCAGUUUCUUCCUGUAGCAACACAAACCCUGCAUAUAUGAGAACAGCUUGGAAUUGAUAGCAGUAUACUAAUAAAAUUUGUUUUGUUUCUGUGGCGAUAAAACGUAGAAAUAUAUAUUUCAUUACAGGAAGAUGGCAUGGUAAAUUAAGUGAUAUGGAAUCGAAUUUCUUGCAAAUGCGGAAGCGAGCUGAUCUGGCUGGAAAGUACUCCAACGAGCGACGAAAAAGUACUCAAUAAUUUGCCAAGAAAAUGAAUCAAAUAAUAGAAAGAGAAACACUUAAAAAAACAAUAUGGUCUUAAUCAGUUCUUGUAUGUAAUUAAUAUCAUGGUGCUCAACAACCAAUUAGUGUUAAUUAAAAGAUUCUAAACUCAUUAAAAGCUUGUUAGCGUUUAGGAAAUAAAGUCAAUUAUACUAAUAGUUCUCAAAAAUAUUAUUAAAGACUGUCACUUUAACUUAAAGAAAUACAAUGAAC